GUAUUUGAAUGUGGAGUAAUUUUCUAACAUAGUAGCAGUUGAAGACUUGAAGUUUAAUUGUUUUUGGGGUUGAUAGGAUGCCAAGAUUAAACAGAACCCAAAUAAGGAGAAGAAGAAACAAAGAGGCAGUCAUGGUGUUAUCCGCCUUUGUUACUUCUGUGUUGGCUGUGUUUCGCCUCUACCUCUUCAUCACCUCCAUAACACGACGUCCAUGUCCACACUUGUCUCCGAAUCCAAACUUUUACCAGUCCCAAAUAGAUAGGAUGAAUAGGCUUGUGAAGGGUAAUGAAAUUGAUUGCUAUGAUCAAUUGAGGGUGAACAGACAUAUGUUCUUGAGGUUGUGCUUUUUAGUUCGAGGUGUUGGAUUAGGGGACUCACGCUUCAUAUGCCUUGCGGAGAGGGUUGCCAUUUUCUUGUGGAUCGUUUCACACCAUACAAAGCAAAGGCGUACGAAAUUUGACUUUUGGAGAUCGAGUGAAACGGUAAGUAGACAUUUCAAUGCCAUGCUCCAAGCCAUCUUGCGGCUUUACAACAUGCUCCUAGAAAAGCCCGAGCCUAUUCCUCCUAACUACCACGACAGUAGAUGGAGUUGGUUUCAGAAUUGUCUUGGGGCUUUGGAUGGGACAUAUGUGCCAGUUAAUCCCCCUGCUGUUGACAAGCCACGGUAUAGGUCAAGGAAGGGUGAGAUCUCUAUUAAUGUGUCAGGUGUUUGUACUCGAGAUCAAAAGUUUUCCUAUGUUUUGUCUGGUUGGGAAGGCUCGGCCACAGACUCUAGAAUUCUUCACAAUGCCAUUACAAGACCCACUGGCCUCAAAGUCCUCAAUGGACAUUACUACCUUGUGGAUGGUGGCUACACAAAUGGGGAUGGUUUUCUAGCACCAUACCGCAGCCAACGGUAUCACAUUAACAUUUGGAGGCAAGGUGGCGUCCCGGCUGCGAAAGAGAAGUACUUCAACAUGAAGCACUCCCAAGCUAGGAAUGUCAUUGAGAGAAGCUUUGGUGUUCUUAAGAUGCGGUUCGCAAUAUUGAAAUGUGCCUCCUAUUACCCUAUAAGGACUCAAUGUCGUAUUGUGACAGUUUGUUGUCUUGUCCAUAACCUCAUUAAGAGAGAGAUGCCGAACGAUCCUAUUGAGGCCGAGUAUACGCAAUGGGAACAAGACAACCUACAUAAUGUGGAGGUUGAUGACAACAUUGGUACCGUCGAGUCUUCCAAUGAAUGGACUGCGGGGAGGGAUGCAUUGGCUACCGCCAUGUUUAACAAUUGGUUAGGCAAUGGUGGGGGACUAGUAGGAAAUAUUUGAGACAUUUGUAUUAUUAAGUGUUUGAAGUACUUGUAAUUGAACUUAGUAAUUCUUGUGUGUUAAACUUGUAAUUCUAAGUUAUCAAACAUUGUGUAACUUUCAAUGCUUUAGUAUUGCUACAUCCUGCUUUCCUAAUAAAUCAAAGUCAUUAUUCAAUGUGAGAUCUCGUUCAUGAUAAUAGAUGUACUCCUUUUAUAUACCUUGUACUACUUCAAUGCACUUGGCAACAAUGACUACUGAAGAACUUGAACCCGAGCUUGCUGAAAUUGAAGGUCCUUCCAAAAAGGCCCGUAGGACUUGGAGGCAAGUGGAAGAGGAUACCUUACUCAAGGUUAUGAUCAAUGAGGUUUGUGAAAAGUGGAAGUGGCCUGCCGAAAAUGGGUUUAGACCCGGAUUCUUUACACACUGUGAGGUUGAGUUGGCGAAGGUGUUGGCGGAUGCUAACAUUAAGGCUAACCCCCACAUCAACUCAAAAGUAAGGUAUUGGAAACAAACAUACCAUAAGAUACUUGACAUAACCGGUCUUAGUGGGAUGAGUUGGGACCAUACCAACAAACGCAUUGUGGUCGAUGACCCAACGGUGUGGGCGGAGUAUGAAAAGGCCUACCCAAGAAAGGCCAAAGGCAUGAACAUGAAGCCAUUCCCAAUGUUUGAUGAUUGGGUUGUCCUAUUUGGAAAGGAUAGGGCAACAGGGGAGGGUGCGGAGGAUCCGUCGCAAAUGGCUAUGUCGGAUGUAUUUGAUGCACCGGAUGAUGUUUACAUGCCCCACUUCGGUCCAGAAUUUGAUGGUUCCUUUUUCAAUGAACCCCCCUCCACUCCCACCCCUACUCCUACACGUGCGGCCUCCACACCUCCGACCUCCACACCGCAUAGGUCACUCCCGACCUCAACUCCCCGGCCAACCUCAGCCCCUACCAAUGCUGCACCUAAGAAGGGGAGGAAGAGGACAAGAAUGGGUGAGGAGGACGAAUCAAUUCAUGCAAGCAUGGCGACUUUUAUGAAGGAUACCUCAAGCCACAUAGGGGACAUGGUGAGCUCAAUAGGGUAUGAGAAAAACCUAUCGAAACGCCACGAGAACGUUCAAGCCAAGUUAGGGAAGCUUAAUAUCACGUUGAUCCAAAAAUUCAAGUUAAGUGCUUGUAUUUGCCAAGAGGAACAGAGGGUGGACAAUUUCUAUGGGUGUAAAGAGGAGGAGAGGCAAGAAUACGUUGAGGCCAUCCUCAAUGGUGAGAUAUAUGGACCAAUUUGAAGUGGCCAAGAGUGAGAAUAUUGGUACCUAUUUUUUGAAGAGGCCAAUAUUGCAAAUGAGAUAAAUAGGGUUGGCAUUUUUUGUGUAACUAAGUACUUUUAUGACUAGUGGUACCAAUUUUUUGUGUAACUAUUCAAUUUGUGACGUGUAAGCACUAACUAUGGGGUAACUAAGAGGUAUGGGGGGUAAUGUUUCUAACAACUUUGUAAUGGUAGAUGAUGGCAUUGCCAUGUAUUCGUACUUUUAAUUAUCUAAUGUAUGACAAAUUUGGUUAAGUAAUUGCAAUUUUGUUGAAUGACAGGUUAUGGGUGACUAAGUACCCCUAAGAUGGCGAUGAUGAAAUAAUAACAAUGUUAAAUGAAGAUAGUGCCUUUGGCGGGGUAACUUUUUUUUGUUGCAGCCAAGUGUACCCUCGUGCUUUUUGUAGUAUAUUUCGGAGCCAACUAUGAUGCUU